rnacentral:rRNA from 1 species
AAUGGGCGAAAGCCUGACGCAGCGAUGCCGCGUGCGGGAUGAAGGCCUUCGGGUCGUAACCGCUUUCAGCAGGGACGAUAGUGACGGUACCUGCAGAAGAAGCCCCGGCCAACUACGUGCCAGCAGCCGCGGUAAUACGUAGGGGGCGAGCGUUGUCCGGAUUUAUUGGGCGUAAAGAGCUCGUAGGCGGUUUGGUAAGUCGGGUGUGAAAUCUCCACGCUCAACGUGGAGGGGCCACUCGAUACUGCCAUGACUCGAGUCCGGUAGAGGAGUGUGGAAUUCCCGGUGUAGCGGUGAAAUGCGCAGAUAUCGGGAGGAACACCCGUAGCGAAGGCGGCACUCUGGGCCGGAACUGGCCCUGAGGAGCGAAAGCCUGGGGAGCAAACAGGAUUAGAUACCCUGGUAGUCCACGCCGUAAACGUUGGGCACUAGGUGUGGGGAUCUAUCGACGGUUCCGUGCCGAAGCUAACGCAUUAAGUGCCCGCCUGGGGAGUACGG